rnacentral:rRNA from 1 species
AGUGAACGCUGGCGGUAGGCCUAACACAUGCAAGUCGAACGGCCGCACAGUAAGAGCUUGCUCUUACGGGUGGCGAGUGGCGGACGGGUGAGGAAUACAUCGGAAUCUACUUUUUCGUGGGGGAUAACGUAGGGAAACUUACGCUAAUACCGCAUACGACCUACGGGUGAAAGCAGGGGAUCUUCGGACCUUGCGCGAUUGAAUGAGCCGAUGUCGGAUUAGCUAGUUGGCGGGGUAAAGGCCCACCAAGGCGACGAUCCGUAGCUGGUCUGAGAGGAUGAUCAGCCACACUGGAACUGAGACACGCUCCAGACUCCUACGGGAGGCAGCAGUGGGGAAUAUUGGCCAAUGGGCGCAAGCCUGAUCCAGCCAUACCGCGUGGGUGAAGAAGGCCUUCGGGUUGUAAAGCACUUUUGUUGGGAAAGAAAAGCAGCAGGUUAAUACCCCGCUGUUCUGACGGUACCCAAAGAAUAAGCACCGGCUAACUUCGUG